AUGUUUUCAUUCUUCACAGGGACACUGGCUGUGAGGAGGAUCUCCUCCCUCUCUUCAGGGAUGAGGCCUGAUGCUCGGAAGAUCCCCUCCCUCUGUGCAGUGACACUGGCCAUCAGGUGGAUCAACUCCUUUUGUGCAGGAAUGAGGCCUGAUGCUCUGAGGAUCUUCUCCUUUCGCACAGUGACAGUAGCUGCAGUAGCUGCUGGAAGAGUCCCCUCCCUCUGUGCAGGGACACUGGCUGUUCGGACAUUCCCCUCCCUCUGUGGCGGGAUGAGGCCUGAUGCUCGGAGGAUCUCCUCCCUCUCAGCAGGGACACUGGCCUUUGGGACGAUCCCCUCCCUGUGCGCAGGGACGCUGACCAUUGGGACGAUUCCCUUCCUCUGCGGAGUGACACUGGCCAUCAGGUGGAUCAACUCCUUUUGUGCAGGAAUGAGGCCUGAUGCUCUGAGGAUCUUCUUCUUCGGCACAGUGAUAGAAGCUGCUGGAAGAAUCCCCUCCCUCUGUUCAGUGAUGUUGGCUGCUGAGAGAAUCCCAUCCCUCUGUGCUGGGACACUGGCUGUUCGGACAUUCCCCUCCCUCUGUGGCGGGAUGAGGCCUGAUGCUCGGAGGAUCUCCAACCUCUCAGCAGGGACACUAGCCUUUGGGACAAUCCCCUCCCUGUGCGCAGGGACGCUGACCAUUGGGACGAUUCCCUUCCUCUGCGCAGUGACACUGGCCAUCAGGUGGAUCAACUCCUUUUGUGCAGAAAUGAGGCCUGAUGCUCGGAGGAUCUUCUCCUUUCGCACAGUGACAGUAGCUGCAGUAGCUGCUGGAAGAAUCCCCUCCCUCUGUGCAGGGACACUGGCUGUGAGGCGGAUGUCCUCCCUCUCUUCAGGGAUGAGGCCUGAUGCUCGGAAGAUCUCCUCCCUCUGCACAGUGAUGUUAGCUGCUGGGAGAAUCCCCUCCCUCUGUGCAGGGACACUGGCUGUUUGGAGGAUACCCUCCCUCUGUGACAGGAUGAGGCCUGAUGCUCGGAGCAUUUCCUCCCUCUGUGACGGGAUGAGGCCUGAUGCUCGAAGGAUCUCCUCCCUCUGCACAGCAACUUCGGCUGCUGUGAUGAUCUGCAGGUAUAAAUAG
rnacentral:lncRNA from 1 species